rnacentral:tRNA from 1 species
UGUACUUUUAGCUUAACUGGUCAGAUCAGAUGGCUUAUAACUAUCUGAUUGGAGGUUUUAAUUCUACAGGGCACAU